GACGAACGCUUGCGGCGUGCCUAAGAAAUGCAAGUCGAGCGAGGUUUAGUCUUCGGACGAAGACCUAGCGGCGAACGGUCGCGUAACACGUAAGCAACCUGCCCUAAAGUUGGGGAUAGCCCUCCGAAAGGAGGAUUAAUACCGAAUGUGGACACUGCCUCGCAUGUAGCGGUGUCUAAAGCAGCAAUGCGCUUUAGGAUGGGCUUGCGGCCUAUCAGCUAGUUGGUGUGGGUAAUGGCUCACCAAGGCGACGACGGGUAGCUGGUCUGAGAGGAUGGUCAGCCGGACUGGGACUGAGAUACGGCCCAGACUCCUACGGGAGGCUG
rnacentral:rRNA from 1 species